GUCGAAGUGGCGGAACGGUAGACGCGCGGGCUUGAGGGGCUCGUUUCCUAGGAAGUGGGAGUUCAAAUCUCCUCUUCGACACCA
rnacentral:tRNA from 1 species